CUUAUUUCUUGGCCUUUUGGCUGAGAUCAAGUGUAGUAUCUGUACUUGCCAGUUUAAUACUGAACUUGUUUUAAAAUGCUAAGGUUUGUAUUGGGACAUAAAAAUGUUAGUAUGGUAAUAUUCUUGUACUUCUUAACAAGCA
rnacentral:snRNA from 1 species